AAGAGAGAAAGAAAGCGUAAGGCAUAAAAAUUUGUCUGCGAAGAAAAUAGAGACCGUAAGCGAUAUUAUAGUAAGAUAGGCAAAUCAGGUUGCUGAUGCGUUGGCAAAAUGGAGCAUGAGAGGAAAUUUUAUGAUGUUAAGGAUCUUCCUAAGCAGGCUGCUGGUCCAUAUUUUCUAGAUAUACAAGAUACUGCCUCCACACAAACAAAGAAGGAAUAUGCAUGCUUGUCUAAUAAUCUUUUUGGGAGUUUUUGAACCGUUAAUUUUCUUUUUUCUUUCUCCCUGUAUAUGCUAGGUUUGAAAAGCGGCAGGGGUUAGUGCUAACCUCUGUUUUGUAAUGAAAUAAAAGGCAGCGUUCGCAAAUUACAAAAAACAAAAAAACGUUUGUCUUCGA